rfam:Lactobacillus capillatus DSM 19910 NODE_36, whole genome shotgun sequence.
AGGUCCUUUAAAGAUAGUCCCGUGAGGCUAGGAAGGCAGCGUCUUAUUCGAACUUGAGAUAAAGACAACGGUCUGACCACUUAGCUUAACGCUAGGUGGUCUUUUUUAA